rnacentral:rRNA from 1 species
GAGUUUGAUCCUGGCUCAGAUUGAACGCUGGCGGCAUGCCUAACACAUGCAAGUCGAACGGAAACGAUGGAAGCUUGCUUCCAGGCGUCGAGUGGCGGACGGGUGAGUAAUACUUAGGAAUCUGCCCAAUAGUGGGGGACAACUCGAGGAAACUCGAGCUAAUACCGCAUACGACCUACGGGUGAAAGUGGAGGAUCUUCGGACUUCACGCUAUUGGAUGAGCCUAAGUCGGAUUAGCUUGUUGGUGGGGUAAAGGCCUACCAAGGCGACGAUCCGUAGCUGGUCUGAGAGGACGAUCAGCCACACUGGGACUGAGACACGGCCCAGACUCCUACGGGAGGCAGCAGUGGGGAAUAUUGGACAAUGGGGGCAACCCUGAUCCAGCAAUGCCGCGUGUGUGAAGAAGGCCUGCGGGUUGUAAAGCACUUUCAGUAGAGAAGAAAAGCUUACGGUUAAUACCCGUGAGUCUUGACGUUAACUACAGAAGAAGCUCCGGCUAACUCCGUGCCAGCAGCCGCGGUAAUA